rnacentral:rRNA from 1 species
UAACAAGGAUUCCCCUAGUAGCGGCGAGCGAAGCGGGAAGAGCUCAAAUUUAUAAUCUGGCACCUUCGGUGUCCGAGUUGUAAUCUCUAGAAGUGUUUUCCGCGUUGGACCGCACACAAGUCUGUUGGAAUACAGCGGCAUAGUGGUGAAACCCCCGUAUAUGGUGCGGACGCCCAGCGCUUUGUGAUACACUUUCAAUGAGUCGAGUUGUUUGGGAAUGCAGCUCAAAUUGGGUGGUAAAUUCCAUCUAAAGCUAAAUAUUGGCGAGAGACCGAUAGCGAACAAGUACCGUGAGGGAAAGAUGAAAAGCACUUUGGAAAGAGAGUUAACAGUACGUGAAAUUGUUGGAAGGGAAACGCUUGAAGUCAGACUUGCUUGCCGGAGCUUGCUUCGGUUUGCAGGCCAGCAUCAGUUUUCCGGGGUGGAUAAUGACGGUUUGAAGGUAGCAGUCUCGGCUGUGUUAUAGCUUUCCGUUGGAUACAUCCUGGGGGACUGAGGAACGCAGCGUGCUUUUUGCGAAAGACUCGUCUUUUUCACGCUUAGGAUGCUGGUGGAAUGGCUUUAAACGACCCGUCUUGAACCACGGACCA